GUGAGUAAAUUUUCUAUUGGGCACAGAGUUACCUGCUAAAAUGAAGUGUGGAAAAAUACAAUGGGGUGUGUGUAUGUGAGAGAGAGAGGGAGAUUUGGAGGUGGGGUGGGGAAGACCCUAUUUGAAGUGGGCUUUGAAGAAUGAACAAGAUUUUUAUUAGGGAACAAAAUGGAAACCAGCAUUCCAGGACAAGCGUCUCAGGAGAAGCAAAAGCGCAGAGUUGUGAAAGCUCUUAGAUUUUCAGAACUUUGAAUUCUGAACUAUAUAUAAACCUGGAAAAUCUCGGUUAACUAUGGGAUGGCAUCAAGAUUUCAAUUUCAAGCUUUCUGGUCAUGCACAGUAAAGCUGGAAUUAGAGUCUCUUACGUAUGGCAGUUGUUGACAAGUCCGUACAGGUACCUAAGUGCUUCCCAGAAAAUUCCUCAAGUUGGUAGGUCCUGGGGGAAUCAGUUUAGUUCUAAAGAGAGGACUCAUCAGAGAUCUGUUCAACUUCCAGGAAUCUGUGAGGAUAGCUCCAAAUCUCACUCUCAUGCCCAGCCUAUCAAACAAAGCAAACCGGUUGGACUGAAGCUGUGGGAUCGGGACUGAAAUAGAACCAGCGAGAAAGGCAGUCCUCCUCGAUUCCUAGAGAGAACACAUUCAGCCAGCAGUUGGAUAGAGGAUACUAGCAAGUCCCUCGCCAGGGCGGGGGAGCAGAGACACAUUCCUGUCCCGUUUACAUUCUUCCUCUGGCGGAGGCGGGAGGGUCGCUUGAAGCCUCGGAUUUCGAGAUCAGCCAGGACAAAAAAGUGCACGCUUGGGCUCGUUACUGCUCAGAAUUUUAGAAUCACAGAUCCAGCAGUGAUCAGGCAGCUGCAGCUGUCAGGGACCACCACCACCUACGCGAUUGAUCCGUGGGAGAAGCCGUCCUACUCUUUUCUUUCUCCUUUGUCCUUCUCAUUCCUGACCCCUUCAGGAUUCUCAGUCUUCCCUCCGGGAGACUUUUGGCCAGUCUUGUCUCGCUCCAACCUCCUACCCCCACCCCAUUCCUCAGUGCAUUCGUGAAUUUCUCCAAGCAGGCCUUUCCAGAUCGACACUAAGUUCCAAUCCCGAGCUGUGUGACCCAGCACCAAUUCAGUCACGAUGAUGACUUGCAAUUGCUUAAUCAGUUGGCCUUUCCUCCUAGCUGUGAAGUUUACCGUGCAGGAUUGCAAACACCAGAGAGAAAAUCAGUCUCUGGAAUGAUGCCUUUGAUGGACCAAGAUGCAGCUGAUGAAGCAUUGAACCAAUUAGCACCUAGCAGGAGGGCACCCUUGCUCUGUGUCCUUGAAGGUUAAAGCUGUCAAAAAGUGGUCUCCCUCAAGUUCGGCCAUCUUGCUCUCAGAGAUCUAGAACUGGACUCAGUCAAAAUUUUGGGCCAAGGAGACCGACGCGCUGUCGCCUGCACUAAGAGAAACGCAACGAACAACUUUGUCAAUGCAUUGCAUUAUACUAUAGCAGCAACUAUACUUUUAAAUGAUUCGAAUCUUGAGGUUUCAAACUGAACCGUCUUGUGCCUUUUGCCCGGCGGGCAUUUCUGCGGGGACCGCGGGUCACCUUCUGAAUUUUUACCUUCAUAAACAGCAAGGACUGCGCUCUUUCGCACGGCGCCCCGUUUUUUCGUAGAGUUCCGUCGGCCAAAACCACUUGAAACUCGCUCAGCGGCGUCGGGGCUCCAGCCAGGCGUCACCUUCCACAGCGAACCUGCGAACCACAGCGUCCCCUGGGGGUCUCCGUCCGCGUGGCCGCUUCCUCUUACAUCGGUGACGCAAGGGAAGGGCGUCUAGGAUCCGCCGGUUUCCUUCCUCACUGCUCCCAUCAGUGCGAAAGCAACGUGUUGGGGGUUCGGGGUGUGUGGCGGCUGAACAGCUGCCUGAAGUUCUCUGAUGGCGCUGGAGGGAGCUCCAGAGAAGAGGUCAUGGGGAGAAGGCACACCUUAAACGCCCCGGGGUGGGGGGGGGGGGCGACAUUCCCUAAUGGGAAAAAAGACACACCUUAAACGCAGUAGAGGGCGACAUUCUCUACUAGGGAAAAUGCGGAAGAACACAGUUGUAAUCAACGGUAGCGUGGCCGAGCGGUCUAAGGCGCUGGAUUAAGGCUCCAGUCUCUUCGGGGGCGUGGGUUCAAAUCCCACCGCUGCCAAGUACUUUUCAUUCUCACUAGGGACUGUUUUUAGGAGAAUCCCUUUCCAAAUGUUCAGUAUGAAUGGUUCUUACGUAUCAAUCCCAUUCUCCUCUUCGACUUCUGUUUACCACGGAGCCAGAGAUAACCGUCCCCAGAACAAUGUUCCCCCAUUAUUUAGAGGACAGUGUACUCCAGGCGCCUCAGAUACAGCAAUGAGUGACACAAGCAAAAAAACCCUUAAUGGCACAUACUUAGUGAGGUGGCACGAUCUCGGCUCACUGUAACCUCCGCCUCCCCGGUUCAAGCCAUUCUCCUGCCUCAGUCUCCCGAGUGGCUGGGAUUACAGGUGCGCGCCACCACGCCCUGGCUAAUUUUUGUAUUUUUAGUAGAGACGGGGUUUCGCCAUGUUGGUCAGGCUGGUCUCGAACUCCUGGCCUCAAGUGAUCCUCCCUCCUCGGCCUCCCACAGUGCUGGGAUUACAGGCGUGGGCCACCGCACGCAGCCUGAAGGAUUAAUUUAUGUUUGGAAUCAGCUGCUGUUCUUCCUCCAGCCUCUCUGUAGUGUGCUCACUUCACACUUGGAACCAUAGUUAUAUGGUAUAGAGAAGAGACAACUCUAGGGAAAGUGCCAGUGCCUUGCCUUACCUUACAACUGCCAGACACACCCAGUCAGGUACCUUCUCUGUGGGCUUCUCAGUACCCCGUAUCUCUGUGGUUGCCGGGGGAGCCCUAUCUCUCCUCGGAGCAGUUCUCUCUGCAUACUUCUGGUCUGUCUCUCAUUCUCUAGACCUCAGCUUGGAAGUUGUUUCUCCUUGGAAGCCUUCCCUCAUCUCCUUCUCUUCCUCUUUCCAGCUUCAUAAAGUUUGGGAGGGUAUGGAGAGGAUAAGGAAGGGAACAGCACAGAACGUCCUUGCCCCACGGAACUCAGAGUUUAGUGGGGUUCUCAUGGGGGUUCACAAGGAUUAGAUAAGUUAUUGCCCUAAUAUGGGGCAAACUCUACUAAAAAGGAGAUAGCUUUCUAUGUGUAGAUUUUGAAUGAUGUUCCAGAUUUAAGAGAAUAAAAAGAAAAUAAUAUGAAUUGUAUGUUAGAAAGAAGGACUGUCACAGAAUUGUUCCCAACUGGGAUUACAGGUGCAGGCCACUAGGUCCGGCUAAUUUUUGUAUUUUUAGUAGAGAGGGGCGUUUUGCCAUGUUGGCCAGGCUGGUCUCAAACUCCUGACCUCAAGUGAUCCUCCCACCUGGGACUCCCCAAGUGCUGGGAUUACAGGUGUGAGCCACCACGCCUGACCACCUUUAUUGAUUUUUGAAUGCUAAUCCAACUUCUCCAUGCUAGAAUAAUCUUAACUUGUUCAAGACAUGUAAUCUUUUAAAAAAUGUAUAUUCCUGGAUUCAGUUUGUUACUAUCUCAAGAUUUUUCUCACUACAUUCAUGAAUGAUAAUAGCCUGUAAUUUUCUUUUUUAAAAAAUUUCCUUGUGUUGUUUGUUUUUCCUCAUCGUUCCCUAAUGGUUUGGUAUUAAGGUUAUACAGGCCUCAUAAAAUGAGUUUAACAUUGGGAUUAUUUUCCCUUGCAUGUUUAGUAGAAUUAACUGGUGAAAACAUCUGACCCUUGAGUUUUCUUUCUGGGAAUAUAUAUUAUAGGUUCUAUUUAAAUAAUUGGUAUCAGACUAUUCAGAUCUUAUAUUUUUUUCCUGUACUAGUUUUAGAAACAAGAGUCUUCCUAAGGAAAUAUACCAGAUGAACCUGGAAAAUCUUUUCACCAGAAAGCAAGGAGGCUACUGAAGACUACUUUAGUCAUGUUAAACAAAAAAGGCUUGUGCUGACACCUAUGAAGUAGUCUUACCCAAAUCAAAUCUAAAUAUAGAAUUUGAUAAAGCCCUUAGAUCUAACUAUUAAUUUUUAGGACAUGCAGGGGCAGAGGAAUGUGUUAAAUACUACCAAAGGUGUGCAAUAAUUAAAAUCCAAACUGUGAAACUCUGCAGCACCAGCAACCUAGUUAAUCAUUAAAUAAAUUUCAAGAAAAAAGAGAUAUAGGGAGAACUUAUAUAUUAAAAUACUUAAGAUACAUACCAACUAAUCACAAUGUAUUGACCUUAUUUGAAUACUUUUUUUUUUUUUUUUCUGAGACAGUGUCUCACUCUGUCACCCAGGCUGGAGUGUGGUGGCACAAUCACGGCUCACUGCAGCUUUGACCUCCCAAGCUCGUCUCCCGAGUAGCUGGGACCACAGUCAUGCACCACCAUGCCUGGCUAAUUUUUGAAUUUUUUGUAGAGACAGGGUCUUGCUAUGUUGCCCAGGCUGGUCUUGAACUCCUGAGCCCAAGUGAUCUUCUUGCCUUGGCCUCCCAAAGUACUGGGAUUACAGGUGUGAGCCAUGGUGCCUGGCUUGGUUUUUUUUAAUGUUAAGAAAAAAUGGCAUUAGAGAAAAAUUUGAACAGCGAAUGAAUCUUUGAUGAUGUUGCCAAAUAGAUAAUUUUGUUUAGGUGUGAUAACUGUACUAGUGUUAGUUUACUUAUAUUUUUGGUUUGUUUUUUAGAGAUGGGGUCUUGCAAUAUUGCCCAAGCUAACCUCAAACUUUAGGGCUCAAGGAGUCCUCCCACUUCAGCCUCUUAAGUAGCUGGGACUACAGCAUAGGCCGUCGUGCCCCUGGCUCUAUUAUUAGUUUGUUAGUUAGUUUGUUUGUUUGUUUAUUUAUUUAUUUAUUUAUUUUGAGACUGAGUCUUGCUCUGUCGCCCAGGCUGGAGUGCAGUGGCGCGAUCUCGGCUCACUGCAACCUCUACCUCCCGGGUUCAAGCAAUUCUCCUGCCUCAGCCUCCCGAGUAGCUGGGAUUACAGGCGCCUGCCACCACGCCUGGCUAAUUUUUGUAUUUUUAGUACAGGCGGGGUUUCACCAUGUUGGCCAGGCUGGUCUUGAACUCCUGACCUCAGGCAAUCCAUCCACCUCAGCCUCCCAAAAGUGCUGGAAUUACAGGUGUGAGCCACCGUGCCCGGCCCAUAUUGUUAGUUUUUUUAAACAGUCAUUAUCUCCUAUAGACAAUUAAAUACUUAUGGAUGAAACACAAUUUCUGUCAUUUGCUUGAAAAUAAUCUUAAGCAGAGGGAAUGGGUGGGGAUACAGAUGAAACAAGAUUAACCCUGACGUAAUAAUUGUUGAAGCUGAAUGAUGUGUACAUGGAGUUCAUUUUUCUAUUGCCUUAACUCUUGCAUGGGUUUGAAAUGUUCUAUAAUAAACUUUAUUUUUUAUUUAUUUAUUUUUUUGAGAUGGAGUUUCGCUCUUAUUGCCCAGGCUGGAGUGCAAUGGCACAAUCUCGGCUCACCACAACCUCUGCCUCCCGGGUUCAAGCGAUUCUCCUGCCUCAGACUCUGAGUAGCUGGGAUUACGGGCAAGCGCCACCAUGCCUGGCUAAUUUUUGCAUUUUUAGUAGAGACAGGGUUUCUCCAUAUUGGUCAGGCUGGUCUUGAACUCCUGACCUCAGAUGAUCUGCCCACCUCAGCCUCCCAAAGUGCUGGGAUUACAGGCAGGAGCCACUGCGCCCGGCCAAUACAUUUUUUUUAAUAGAGGAGGACUAUAAAACCUAUGGGAAGCUCUGAUGGCACGACUAUGACUUGCUGAUGUUCACUACAGGUUAUCUGGCUAGGCCACUUGCUGAGAAACUCCUGAUGUAUCUUCAAGUCUAUUCUGGUUGGAUUUCUCACUGAAAACUGCGUCUUUUGUCUGGGAGGUGAAAGCCAGACCCUCAUCUUUCUGGGAGAUAAGGAAAGUAGGCUGGAGGCGUUGACAUUCAGUAUGCUCCUUUUUCAAAUGGAAUUCCUGUCCUCCAUGUGUCUAGCCCACAUAUCCUUUGUUUAACCUUCUUCAGAAAAUAAACCUCCAGUCUUCUUUGGGCUUGAGGACCUAGGACUCUGCUUGCUUCCUAAAUAGCCUCUGACAGACUCUCCUCGUUUUAGUCUAUUCAUUCUCAUUUCCAGGGGUACAUGGUGCCACCAAUUCUUGAGUCGCUUAAAGAUUCUAUGAUGUAAAAUAAAUGUCUUUUUUUUUUUCUUUUCUUUUUUAGAAGGAGUCUCACUCUGUUGCCCAGACUGGAGUGCAGUGGUGCAAUCUCGGCUAACUGCCACUUCCGCCUCCCACUCCCCAGUAGCUGGGACUACAGGCACGCACCACCAAGCCCAGCCAAUUUUUCUAUUUUUAAUAAAGAGACAGGGUUUCACCAUGUUGGCCAGGCUGGUCUCAAAUUGCUGAUCCCAAGUGAUCUGCCCAUCUCAGCCACCCAAAGUGCUGGGAUUACACGUGUCAACCACGGUGCCCGGUCAGAUUUGUCCUUUACUUGCCCCCUUCAGGCUAAAAUUUAGCUUUCUCAAAUUCAAUGUCAUUAUUACUUAUCCUUUUUUCAGUUUCCAAAAUUUUGUAGUUGCCUCUUCUGCCAUUCUUCCUGAUUAUGAAUGGUUUUACUGUAGCAUUAGUGUAGUUCUGAGGGGGAGCAAUACCAAAUACACGUAGUCAAGCUACAAUCCUUACCAAGAAGUAUCUUAUCAUCUUUCUUAAACUUAAAUGAAAUUGGCAUUCUCCAUUUCUUUUGUGAAGGUAAAAAUAAUCUCAUAUCAGUGUUCUGGUAAAAAUUUUGUGUUUGCACGUGGAAUGUAAUUCGAUUUAAAAAGUGAGUUUUACCUGGUGAUUUUUGUAUGUAAAUUAUAACUUAGACUAACUCUUGUUUGGUAACUCUUCAGAAUUAGAACUACAGAUAUCUUAGGGUUUCAAGCAACAUGUUUUGUCAUUCAACUAUGCACCUGACCUUCGAAUUCCUUCAGUAUUAUUCUUACCAAACUUAUUACCUUAUGGCAG
rnacentral:tRNA from 10 species